UCCGUAGGUGAACCUGCGGAAGGAUCAUUACCUGGCCUUGGGCCGCUCGGGGGAGCCAGUCGCUCGCGACGACGCUGCCUUGGGCGCUUAGCCCUUGACUAUCACCUUGACUACGUGCACCUUUUGUUGUUUCCUCGGCAGGUCCUCUGCCGCCAGGAACCCCCCAAACCCCUUUGCAACAGCAUCCAAACUUCUGAAAACAAACCAAAUCAUUUACAACUUUUAACAAUGGAUCUCUUGGCUCUGGCAUCGAUGAAGAACGCAGCGAAAUGCGAUAAGUAAUGCGAAUUGCAGAAUUCAGUGAAUCAUCGAAUCUUUGAACGCACAUUGCGCCCGCCAGUACUCUGGCGGGCAUGCCUGUCUGAGCGUCAUUUCAACCCUCGCGCCCGGCUUCUUGCCGGGGGCGGUGUUGGGGACCGGCCUCCCGCCCCAGGGCGGCCGUCCCCUAAAUACAGUGGCGACCGCGCCGUAGCCUCCUCCGCGUAGUAGUGAAGCACUCGCGGGCGGAGAGCGGUGCGGCCCGCCGUAAAAGCCCCAACUAUACCAAGGUUGACCUCAGAUCAGGUAGGAAUACCCGGCUGAACUUAAGGCAUAUCAAUAAGGCGGGAGGGGAAGGUCGGACUGGCCAAGGGCACACAGGGGGGGAUA
rnacentral:rRNA from 1 species